rnacentral:lncRNA from 1 species
CACAUCUGUUCCAUGUGGACGGUCUAGGUACUAGGGAUACAGUGGUGUGAAAAAUCACCCUACGCAGAUCGUUCCUGCCUACAGGGAAUGAGGUAGGGGGAUGAAGACAGAGAGGUGAGAGGAUAAGGGGGUGGAGUUUAUGGGUAUGUUGAUAACAAGCAAAAAUAUGAACUCUACAAUGUUAGAGGGAGCAAACGCAAUGAAGAGCAAUGAGCAAGGGAAGGAGCUAGAGAGUGGUCAGGGAAAGCCUGUCUGGCCAUCAGUGCUUCCCAACUGAUUGGCUAUUUUUUUAGAAAGACAUUAAUAAAGGAUGUGCCAUAGAGCGGGUGGAGGACUCAGUGGGCAGAAGAGCCACUGAAGAAUCUACUAGAUACAGAAAAUGAUGGUCAUAGGUAAUGGUGGUCGUUCAUUAUUUUUGCAUACCGAUAUCCAAUUGUUCAAGUGUCACUUGUUGAAAAGACUACCAUUUUCCUACGGAGGAAAUAAUCCAAGUUUUAAAAAGUUCCACUUAGUGGUCAUUUCUAUGAACAAAAUGAAUAGUGCUGGAUAACAGAUGAGACUUACAUGAUUCAAAGGCAGUUACGUGAAGCCCUGGGGAAGAGCUUUCCAGGAGAGGCAACGGCAGGUGCACAAGCCCCGAGGUAAGAAAGGGAAAUGUCAAGACCAGAAGGCAGGCUGAUACGGAGGAAUCUUCCAGAAGAAGUCCAAAGGAUGAACUGAGACUGGACUUGAGGCAGGACCUUGUGAGCCCAGAUGGAGGUGGCAAUUGCCAAGUGGAGAAUAAGAAGAAGUGGAAAAAAAUGAAAAUAAGAAAGAUAAUAGGUGGAAGAGAGUCAGGCAGAGUGAAGGAAUCAAAGAGCGGCACAGGACCCUGAGAUCCGCCUAGCAUCCAUUAACAAGUAUUCACGGAGCACCGAUGUGUCAGGAACUGUCCUCCGCCCUGGGACCAUGCUGGGACAUGGACCGAGAAUAGUCACAUGUCUGUGGAGCUAGUGAGGGAGAGAGAUGCCAAAUAAUUAUGGAAAAGGUAUAUCUGCCAAGUAGAGGUUCCAUUACCAACUGGCUUCUGGUUAAGUUCAGCCAGUGGGCGGCACUGACACGUAUUUUUCCUGCCUCCUCCCUCCAGUCAACAAAAAGGUAUUUUCAAAAUGCCAUGCAGGUGGGCUAAACAAGCUCCUACAGCCCCUGGAGAAAGCCACCGAGAGGAAAAGCAAAGAACGAGGAGUUUUGGGGUGGGAAGCUGUCAGUGCUGCAGAUAAGCCAGCCAGCCAACUGCUUAUGAGGAUAAGGAGAAACUGGG